GACGCAGUAGGAUAGGCGAAGCGUGCUGUUGGAGUGCACGUCCAAGCAGUGAGAUUGAGUGUUAGGCAAAUCCGGCACUCUUAAGAUUGAGCUGUGAUGGGGAGAGGAACUUGUUCCUCGAGUCGUUGAUUUCACACUGCCGAGAAAAGCCUCUAGCUAGAAUAACGGUGCCCGUACCGCAAACCGACACAGGUAGUCAAGAUGAGAAUUCUAAGGUGAGCGAGCGAACUCUCGUUAAGGAACUCGGCAAAAUGACCCCGUAACUUCGGGAGAAGGGGUGCUCUUUGAGGUUCACGCUUCGAAGAGCCGCAGUGAAUAGGCCCAAGCGACUGUUUAUCAAAAACACAGGUCUCUGCUAAACCGUAAGGUGACGUAUAGGGGCUGACGCCUGCCCGGUGCUGGAAGGUUAAGAGGAGUGGUUAGCGCAAGCGAAGCUACGAAUCGAAGCCCCAGUAAACGGCGGCCGUAACUAUAACGGUCCUAAGGUAGCGAAAUUCCUUGUCGGGUAAGUUCCGACCCGCACGAAAGGCGUAACGAUUUGGGCACUGUCUCAACGAGAGACUCGGUGAAAUCAUAGUACCGGUGAAGAUGCCGGUUACCCGCGACAGGACGGAAAGACCCCGUGGAGCUUUACUGUAGCCUGAUAUUGAAAUUCGGUACAGUUUGUACAGGAUAGGUAGGAGCCUUAGAAGCGUGAGCGCUAGCUUACGUGGAGGCAUUGGUGGGAUACUACCCUAAUUGUAUUGGAUUUCUAACCCGCAGCACUUAUCGUGCUGGGAGACAGUGUCAGGCGGGCAGUUUGACUGGGGCGGUCGCCUCCUAAAGAGUAACGGAGGCGCUCAAAGGUUCCCUCAGAAUGGUUGGAAAUCAUUCAUAGAGUGUAAAGGCAUAAGGGAGCUUGACUGCGAGACCUACAAGUCGAGCAGGGUCGAAAGACGGACUUAGUGAUCCGGUGGUUCCGCAUGGAAGGGCCAUCGCUCAACGGAUAAAAGCUACCCCGGGGAUAACAGGCUUAUCUCCCCCAAGAGUUCACAUCGACGGGGAGGUUUGGCACCUCGAUGUCGGCU
rnacentral:rRNA from 1 species